UGAGGAAUAUUGGUCAAUGGGCGGGAGCCUGAACCAGCCAGGUCGCGUGAAGGAAGAAGGAUCUAUGGUUCGUAAACUUCUUUUGCAGGGGAAUAAAGUGCAGGACGUGUCCUGUUUUGUAUGUACCCUGAGAAUAAGGAUCGGCUAACUCCGUGCCAGCAGCCGCGGUAAUACGGAGGAUCCGAGCGUUAUCCGGAUUUAUUGGGUUUAAAGGGUGCGUAGGCGGGAGAUUAAGUCAGUGGUGAAAGUUUGCAGCUCAACUGUAAAAUUGCCAUUGAAACUGAUUUUCUUGAGUGCAAAUGAGGUAGGCGGAAUGUGUUGUGUAGCGGUGAAAUGCUUAGAUAUGACAUAGAACACCAAUUGCGAAGGCAGCUUACUACGGGGACAUUGACGCUGAGGC
rnacentral:rRNA from 1 species